rnacentral:lncRNA from 1 species
AAGCCUAAUAAGCAUUUAAAUAGGAAUUCACAAAAGUAAUUUGGGAAUAAUCCAUCUUCAGUUGGCAUGAAAUGUCUACCCUAAACUAAUAUGGCAGGACACUGCAUCUUCCCUAAGCAUGGACUAUCUUAUAUUUACUUAGUGAUCAUGAAGAACAGUUGUACGAACAUCAUACUUAAAAUCACAGAAAUUAAAUAUGAUUCAAAAGAAGAUAUCCAUUAAAAACAAUAAGAUCAUACAACCCCAAGAAUAUAAAAUAAAAUAUAAAACCCAUGUUCCUUUGUUAGGGCUGCAUCCAGCCCCAGUGAAGAAAUUAGCCUUCCAUGAAGAGCUGAACAGUUGCACUGCAGGGGAACUUCAUGAUGAUUGGUUCUUCCUCCUUCCUCCCGUCGGCUCCCUCUCAGCACAUGAUCAUCUUUUCCUUUGGAAAAUCAUUCCCAAAAUACUCAAGAAACUCUUCUCCC